GUGUGGCACAGUGGGUCAGUGCAUCCUGCUGUUAACCGGAAGGUUGGUGGUUCGAACCCACCCAGGGACA